GACGAACGCUGGCGGCAUGCCUAACACAUGCAAGUCGAACGAGACCGUCGGGUCUUGUGGGGGUCGGCGGCGUAAGACCGGGGGAGUAGCACGUGGGUUAGGUAUCCCUGAGAUAAAUUUGAGCUAAUACCACUUGGUGUCAUAGGGCAAAGGAUUUAUCGCUGUUAGAUGGGGGCGGGUUAGUUUAGGUGGUUGGGGGGGGAAUGGCCUAGCAAGGCGACGAUCCUUGGCUGGUCGGAGAGGAAGCCCAGCCACACUGGGACUGAGACACGGCCCAGACUCCGACGGAGGGCAGCAGUAGGGAAUAUUGGACGAUGGGCCAAAGCCUGAUCCAGCAAUGCCGCGUGAGUCGUGAAGGCCGUAGGAUUGUAAAGCUCUUUUACCCGAGAUGUUAAUGACAGUAUCGGGAGAAUAAGCUCCGGCUAACUCCGUG
rnacentral:rRNA from 1 species